rnacentral:misc_RNA from 1 species
GAUGAAGAACGCAGCGAAAUGCGAUACGUAAUGUGAAUUGCAGAAUUCAGUGAAUCAUCGAAUCUUUGAACGCAUAUUGCGCUCUCUGGUAUUCCGGAGAGCAUGCUUGUUUGAGUAUCAGUAAACACCUCAACUCCCCUUUCUUUUUUUGAAAUGGGAGCUGGACUUGAGUGAUCCCAACGCUUUUCUCACCGAAAAGUGGCGGGUUACUUGAAAUGCAGGUGCAGCUUGACUUUUCUCUGAGCUAAAAGCAUAUCUAUUUAGUCUGCCUAAAAAACAGAUUAUUACCUUUGCUGCAGCUAACAUAAAGGAGAUUAGUUCUUGUGCUGACUGAUGCAGGAUUCACAGAGACAGCUUCGGCUGGCCUUUGUAAACUCGAUCUCAAAUCAAGUAAGACUACCCGCUGAACUUAAGCAUAUCAAUAAGCGGAGGA